CCAUAUGAAACAGUGUCUUUUCCUUACACAAUAUGUGUAUCCAAAUACACACAAAAGUUUUAGAUGAAAUAGCAUUUAAGUACAAAAGCUGAAACUUCGAAGUUUGAGGGUGUUGCUUAGUGGCAGAGUUCUUGCUCAGCAUGAGCAAAGCCCAGAGCUCCAUCCCCAGCACCAAAAGGCAGAGCAAAACACAAGAAAAACCAUACACUCCUUAAAAGAAAACACUGACAUUGAUUGAAUUCCAGAUACAGAAGGGUUUUAUAAACAAAACAGAAUAUGCAAAACAACAAAAAGGAAUGGACAGGUAAUUUGGACCAUGUUAAAAUGAAGAACUUCCGGUCACCAAAAGUCACCAUUAAAGGAGCAAAAGGAUAGAGACUGAGAAAUGAUGUUUAGGUAGCCAAAAGGGAAUAAUAUUACAGGUGCAUGCCUGUGAUCCCAGCACUUGGGAGGCUGAGGCAGGAGGAUCAUCAUGAGUUCAAGACCAGUCUGAACCGUGUAGCAAGAUCCUGUCAUAAAAAAAUUUAAAAAUCCACCAAAUCACUAAGAAAAACACAACAGGAAAAUGAUCAAAAGAUACAAACAGGAAUUUUACAGAACAGUAAAGAUGAACAAAGGAGGUACUGCUGGGGUGUAAAGCACUUGCCUAGCAUGUGCGAGGGCCUGAAGAGAAAGAAAAAAGAAAAUGGAAGGGAGAGAAAUGGCAUAAAAGAUCCUGGCAGAAACUUCCCAAAGAAGAGAUCUGAUUUGCAAAACAGUAUUUGACCGUGCUUGAUGUCAUCCGUCAUUAGGAACGUACAAGUUGAAGCAUUCUAAGAUGGCUCUGCAUAGCGGGUAGAACAGUUAGCACUGGAAGGAAUAUGAGCAGUGCUUGGUGAGAAUAUGCGGCACACCGGGGACACGGGUACACAAGCUGAGGAAGCAGUUUGGCCUGUGCUUGUUCAGUUUAACACUUUUGGAGCCUGACCUGGCACCCUCCCUCUUGGCAUUUAUCCUCAUUUUUGUGAGGGAGUCUGCCGCAAAGCCGGCACAGGCACACGAGUGUUCUGGUGGCUCCAUCCCUAAUGGCCGAGCACUGAGAACAACUGCGAUGGCCGUGCGUGCGGGGCAGGGACAAGCGAGUGCGUUCCUGGGCAGUCAGGCGUGGGCUCCGGGUGAGCAGCAGGAGCGCUGCGGCAGAGGGAGCCACGCUCGGGCGCCCUCCACUGUGCGGUCCCGUGUGCAGGAGCUGCUGGAAGAGACGCAGGUAGGGCUCAGGAAACCCCAGUGCCUGCCGAAGCCAGAGCACGGGAGCAGACCCUCCCCAAAGGGACCUAGACCCUCCUGGGGGCCGAGGCCCACGUUACAGGUAACAAUGGGCUCAGGGGCACAGAAACCGCUGGCUUCAACCUCUCGUCAUCGUGAGCCCUGGGUUCGGGAGGCUCCACUCACUCCGAAGAUCUUUGCCUCCGCUCCUGCCACCCAGAGGCGGUGGUAGCAGCGCCUCAGGAGCCCAUCCUCCUACUCCGCUCUUCCAAACGUGCCCCUGACACCUGGCCACGCGCAGGGCCGAGUCUGUGCCUGAGCACCCCCGGAGCCCGGCCUGGCUGCCUCCGUGUCUCGGGUUCCUGCCCCCUUGGCAGCACGAGGUUGCCCCUGUCCCCUUCACGGGAGAGGGACCGAAGGCCGUCCUAGGCCCUGCGGGGCCUCAGCACUGCGACGCCCGCGGCCCUGGCCCUGAGCCUCACUGAACAAUGACCACGACACUUGGUUCAUACUCGGUGCUCACCAGUUUUGCUUUUUAGAUCCACAAAAAAGACCCGGGAGCAGGAAGAUAAGAAUAGUCCUGAGCUCACAACGCGACUGCGGCUCCUCUGAGGUCUGAGAUUUCCUAUUUCUGGUUAUUCUGUUGGGCUUCCCAGACGACCACAUACCUGAGCCAGAGCAGUACUUAAACUGUUUCGUCCUUUGUCCAUGUGACGCCCAUGCUGACCCUGUGGUAGACAUCGAAGUUUCUACUUGAGGCAGAGAUGUCCGGAGAGCCCAGAACCGAGCCCUAGGAGCCACAUGGCUGGCCCCGCCCAGGAGGGGCCCGACGAGACAGCAGCAACCUUUUUCUCAGGAGGAAAGCCUGAUCCUGUGAGGCCUGAGGACACCCACGGCCCACCCUGACAGCCUCCCAGCGCCCGGCUGGGCGGAGCCUGCUGGUCCCCCGUAGGCGCAGCAGGUGAAAGGCACUUCGCAAACCACAGAGCAGCUCCACAUUCUUUGGCAGUUUCCUGAGAAUGAACUUCAUAUUUUGAAACGGGAAAAAAGGGGGGUAGGAGUUGGGGAAGAAAUGAAAUAGAAAGUAAUCGCUGCCCUUGUGCAAGCACCCCUCCACACACGACUCCAGACACUAAGGAAGUGAGACGAGAUCUUUUUCAUGAAUGGCUUAGCUCAGCCUUUGCAGAGCUCCUCUCUCCCAUUCAGCACAUUCAGGCCUCACCUCUGAGGGUCUGAGGCACUGGCUGAUGGCCCAGGGACAGAGCAGCCUGAGACCGCAGGCGACUGUGUGCGCACAGGGGCCUUCCCUGCAGCGACUGCAGGUCUGAGGUGGGGCUCCGGGCCGGACCCCGGGGAGGCCCAAUUCCAGCAGGCUGCCCUGCUCCUGCAGGCUGCACAGGACCCAGCCUGACGGAGACCUGGGGAAUGCUAAUGCGGCCUGCAAUUGGGUUGGAGAGAGCUGUAGGGUCCUCCCCACAGGGGCUGUGGGGCCAUUAGCUAACUGUGGCGCAGCUGCAGGUGGGAGCUGGGUGAGGAGUGGUAGCAGCAGAAGCCUGGGUUCCCGGGACCUGGGCAGUGGAAAGGCAGCUGGAGGACCUUGAUUUCAUUUUGCUGUGUUUCUGGGCCCUCAAGGGUCAGACGGGGAGAUGGGGCUCCCCAGGGAUGGGCCUGGGCUGUGGCCACAUCUCCUGAGAACCCACAAAGCCAGUAUACCCUCAGGAGGAGAGGGGCUGGCUGCUCCUUGGAGCUCCAGGCCUGGCUGUCACAGACAGGUGGCCCAGGGGAAGGAGGCUGUGGGAGGAGGACAGGGGACCCAAGCUGAGACCAAGGAAGGAAGUGCCUGAGACCCCACCUGGCACUGGUCUCUUUCCCCCUGUCCUGCAGCCCCUCCUGGCAGGGACGAGGGGACAUCACUUCCGUCCCCUCUCAGUGCGCCUCCCGGCCCUCACCCUCGGCCACAGGGGAUCCCCACACACCGGGCCAAGGCAGGGCACGGAUGAGUGACCUUCAGAGUGCUUCCCCACUUCCGGCCGGGAGUCCUCCCCGAAGGCUGAGCCAGGGCAAGGCCGGCAGCCGCAUCCAGCUCUUUGCAGCUACUGGGCCCAGCUCUGGGCGCUGGGAAUGGACUCGGAAAUACCAGUGGGCUUUGUUUGGGUUGUUAAUCACAGCGAAGGAAUGAUGUCCAUUCCUCUGGACUUUCUAGGAAUUUGCUUGCAGCUGGAGUGUCCUGUUCCAGGUCCCCUCGCUAGGAGCCGGGCUGCAAGCAGAGGCCUGGCCUCAGGGAGGGGGUGUGCAGCUCUUGGUGCUGCAGGUGGGCACCCGGGGGAGACCAGGCCGGGGCCCUCUGCUGGGUGCUAACUGGGGCGGCUGCUGUCUGCCCUCCUGGCCUCUCUCACUCUCAGGAGCAGGAGGGAGCUGAGAGUCUCCAGUGCCACUUAGGAGGGACGAAAUCCAGGCGGCAGUGAUGGAGGAGAGGCCCAAGGGCAGCUCUUCGCCAGGCCCGCAGAGGGCUGCCUUCCCCAGCACAGGCCGGGGCCUGCUCAGCUCUCCCUCCUGUGCCUUCCUGUCGCCCUGUUGACAAGGAGGAAACGGAGCCCUGGAGAGAGCAGGAAGUUGCUCCAAGGCUCUGCAGUUAGCAGACAGCAGCCCUGGGGGUCAGGUCCAUUUCUGCCCGGUUUCGGUUUCGCAGAGCAGGGUUUAGCUACCACCUUGAUUUCUGUACAUAGUUUAUUAGCUCAACUUUGGUGAGAACCCGAGGUUAAGUGCUCCCCGAGGGUAAAGACAAUCUCUUACUUUCUUCCCUCUUUAUCUCUACAGUUACCAGGAACGCAUUUCACAAGCAGCUGCUAGAACAUGCUGGGAUGGGGCCUGGAGGCUCCGGGGCAGGAAGGACCCCCAGUCUGCAGCAGCACCGCCUCCAGGCCUGCUGCCGGGCCUGGCCUCUCCAAAACCUACAGGCUUGCCCUCUGGAGCGCCUCUGCACCCCCAGCGCCUUGUGUUCAGUGCUGCAACCAAAGGAGUGGUCCUUUGCUUGCUAGUGGAGUUAGUGCGUUUCUUUUUAGCUUUCUUGCCUGUGCCACUCUUGUGUUUUCUCAGCGGCUCCUGGCUUCCUCCCUCUCUGAGCUCCUGGGCCAGCUCACACAGCCUCACGGUCAAAUCCCCUGAGAGGGCCUCGGAGGGGCCGGGGCCCAAGCCAGAGACCCCUGCUGCUCAGCCUAGGCUGGGGUCCAAGGCCUCGUGGCAGCCUGGCAGGGGAGCAGGCUCCUGGUCCUGCUAAGGACCUCCCUUCCCUUCCCUCCUUUGAAUAAUUGUGGUUUAUGCACCCGAAAGUUACAUUAAUCUUUACAAAUUAACACAGAAAGAACACAAGAAAUAGCGAAAACUUGGAAGCAGCUCAAGUGCCCGUCAGCUGGAGACUGGGUAAAGAAAAUAUGUUUUGUUUUGUUUUUAUAAAAUGGAGUACUACUCAGCCAUAAAGAAUGAGAAACUCGAGUCAUUUAUAGCUAAAUGGAUGCAUUUU